rnacentral:rRNA from 1 species
UACGGGGGGAGCAAGCGUUGUUCGGAUUUACUGGGCGUAAAGGGCGGGUAGGCGGCCACCGCAAGUCGACUGUGAAAUCUCCGGGCUUAACCCGGAAAGGUCAGCCGAUACUGCGGGGCUAGAGUGCAGAAGGGGCAACUGGAAUUCUCGGUGUAGCGGUGAAAUGCGUAGAUAUCAAGAGGAACACCUGAGGUGAAGACGGGUUGCUGGGCUGACACGUGACGCUGGAGGCGCGAAAGCGUGGGAGCGAAC